UAUUGUCAGGCUCACCAUUUCCCUUGCAAACUUUACGUUCUCAUUGUGAAACAAGUCAGCUGGAGAGCACAGGCAUCAGACAGAUUUACUGGGAGAUGAAGAAAGAUUUUCUGAACUUAAAAAAAACAAACCUGAGGGGUGUAUCAAAACAGUUAACUUACAGAGUGAGGAAAUUAACCGUUGCAGAAAUAUAUGGUCAUUUCCUGAGCCCGAUGAUCUGAGGAGUAACCAACAUAAGACGUUUUCUAACAGCCAAUCUAUCAUUUAUGGGCUUUUCAUGCUACGCCAUACACACUGGAGCAGCUCAUACGUGUACGGAAAGUAAAAUCUGUUACAGUGUGGAAGCACCAGCACUGAUUAGAUGAAAAUUCCCUAGGGAACUGCCUGAGCUAAUGGCAUCACCUAACACCUCUAGCAGGACAAACUAGCAACUCCCUGCUCCGCAGUGGGCAUUAGUGAUCUCAUCAGCUUCUGCACUAGAAGCCUGGAACCCUGAACUCAGGUUUGAUUUUAACUGAACUCUUAUGAUACAAUCCAGAAGGCUUUUAAGAAUCAACAACUUCCUUUUCCAUAAUGUCUGGAAAUAAAUCCCAACUAGAUGAUGAAACAAUGACCAUGCUUCAGAACAGAGCUAUUACAAUCACCCUCCCAGCUGUGUACUCCUUGGUGGCCCUCAUCAGCAUCCCUGGGAAUGUGUUCUCUCUUUGGGUGCUCUGCUGCCACAUCAAACCCAAGACACCCUCAGUUAUCUUCAUGAUUAACCUUAGCAUCACAGACCUCACCCUGGCUUGCUGCUUUCCCUUCCAGAUUAUCUAUCACAUCAAGAACAACAACUGGAUCUUUGGUAAGAGUCUUUGCAGCUUAGUCACAGUGAUGUUCUACUCAAACAUGUAUUCUUCCAUACUCACCAUGACCUGCAUCAGCAUAGAGCGGUUCUUGGGAGUGGUGUAUCCCAUGAAGUUAAUCAAGUGGAGAAGAAAGAGAUAUGCACUUGCUGCCUGCUUGGGCAUGUGGGCCUUUUUGCUAUUGGCCCUAUACCCACUGGCGAGCACAGAUCUGACCUAUGAAGUAGAACAACUAGGGAUCAUAACUUGUUUCGAUGUGCUCAAAUGGGACAUGCUGCCCAAUUUUAUAGCAUGGGUAACCUUUCUUCUGACGCUGUUUGUUCUCCUCUUCCUGAUCCCAUUCAUAGUGACGGUAGCCUGCUAUAUUGGCACUAUUCGGAAGCUCAUUCAGACCUCUGGCAAACACGGUAGCAAGAAUAAGACUAGGUCUAUAUACCUGGCUGGAAUUGUCCUCUUGGUAUUCAUUACUUGCUUCGCCCCUAAUAACUUUAUUCUACUUGUGCACAUGAUCAGCCGUCUCUUUUUCCAAAAGAGCUUCUACCCUGCUUACAAGCUCACCCUAUGCCUCAGUUGCCUGAGCAUCUGUAUAGAUCCAUUCAUUUACUAUUUUGCAUCCAAAGAAUUUUAUCAGAAAUUCAUGCAAGUAAUAGGUCAUAAGGCACUGCUCACUGACAGUCUGGAGACCAGAAGGGAAAGCUUAUUCUCUGGCAGGACAAUGUCGGCCAGGUCAAUGUCAAGUGGGCCUAUGGAAGGGUUAGAUGGAGUUAAGGUAUGUUUGCAAAGGCAGGAAAGUGUUUUUUAACUACAGAUUUCAAAUCCGAUGUGGGAAGGAAGUAGAAAGUUCUCAGUGGAGAAAGAAAGGGAUUUUUUUUAAACGAUAUUCUGAUAAACAUCAAUGCCCAUAGCAAUAAUAGUCCAACCACAUUGAACAGCAAGUAUCUCACACAUGUCAAAAAUCAAUAACCACUUGCGGGGAAGAAAUAGAGAAGGAGUAAGAUGAACCAAAAUUAUCAAAGGAAGAAAGUGAUCCAGUCCAAGUCCGGUGAUCCAAGACAAAACUGACAAACAAGGAUACAGACAGCAUUAAUUCUACUGAACACUUCUCAAUAUGAUUGGAAAGCAAGGACAAACCAAAAGUACUUUCAGAAUCAGAUCUCAGUGCUUAACCAAAUAGUUAUGGAUCUCACUUUUUAUACUAAAGGAAAAUAAUGUUAAACUGGGUUUGGGGGCAGGGAGUUGCCUUUGUAAAUAUGUUAAUUGCUUAUCGAGGUAUGAAUUUUUCUUGUGUUGUUGCAGAAAAAGAAUUAAUAUAUCUUGCCAUUUUAUCAUGAAUACAUUAUGUGUAGCCACUAUGAACUCAUCACAACACUUAUGUAUCACUCGCCUGAUUUAAACACAGCCUAACCUAACCACAUUAACCUUCAAAGAGGUUAGCUUGGUGAAUAGUUAUUUAUUUCAAUUUCGUCUAUCGAAAUCUCGUAAAAUGAAGUAAAAAAGAAAGACCAAUGUCAGUACCCUAAACCACAUCAAUGCCCCAGCUGCUGAGUGGGUUACAUCACUGUUAGAGCUAGACACUUCUAAGGAGGGAGGCGAAGUGCAGAUGGCUUACAUGGCAAUUUUCUCACAAUGACCCACUACAUUAAUAUUGCUGAGCUGGCAUUCACUUAACUUAGUUUGUUUGUUUUACAAUGGGCCAAACUCUAUGGUCCUGUACUGAAUACAGUUCCCAUUGCAGUCAGUUUGAGUAUUGCUUUAUGUAGUUGAUGGACAGUGUUUUUGCUUUCCUCUAGGAGCUAGUUCAGAUAAUGGUCCAGAUUCUCAUCUGGUGUAAAGGGGAGUAAUCCCAUUUAUCUCAAUUGCAUUAUGCCAAUAUAAACAAGCUGAAGAUUUGUCUCCUGAAUAUUGGCAUUACCUCAUUUGCUUUUGAUACUUUACAUGUCUGGACUACAGGUUUUACAGACAGAAAAAGGCACUGGGCAGUUGAAAUUUACCAACCUUCCUGCAGCUAGCUCAUAUAUUAGUGCAGUGGCAUGUUCAGACCCUCAGUAUCCUGUCCCAAGGUAUUGCAUCACACCGUGCUUCUCCUCAUAUCUCAAAUCGAAUGGUUGCUUAGAAAUACAAUAAAACAGCAUCUAUGUUUUUCUUUUUAAUCUCAAAAGACUUUUUUCCUAUUUUUUUAUUUGAAAUUGUGCAUAAUAUCAACAGUUAUUAAAAUGAGGAGCUAAUGACACUUGUUAGAGCCAAGCAAGCUUCCCCCCACCACUGGGCAAAAACAACUCAACAAUACUUCUAAUAUCCUAGAGCUUGAUCUAACUCUCAGUGAGCUCAGCAGGAAACUUACCAUUGACACAGAUAUGAGCAUCGGAUCAGGCCUCAAGUAAUUGGCUAGCCUGGAGCAGUGAUCACCAGCUAUGUGAACUGUGUGAUAGUUCCAUAACGUGAACAAAAAAUAUUUAAAAGGUACUAGAUUAGACCACUAAAAAUUUAUCUGCCUUUUCAUCUAAGGUAUGAUUCAGACUCAGCAAUCCAAACGUUAAUAGUUCCAUACAUUAGCCUUGUUCACCAUCUACCUUCUAGCCUGUGCUUUGUUAUAGUAACUGGAUAACCAAAAAACUUGUUUUAGAAUUUAUAAAGGAUUUUUCCUACCUAUUAUCCUCCCUGUCAAAUAGUCAAGUACUGAUGGAGAUUACAACCAAGAUGAAAAGCAAUGCAUAUUAGUGAUUUACAGUAUAACCUCAGAGUUAGGAAAACCUCAGGAAUGGAAGUUAUUUGUAACUCUGAAAUGUUUGUAACUGUAAACAAAACAUUAUGGUAGUUCUUUAGAAAGUUUACAACUAAACAUUGACUUAAUACAGCUUUGAAACUUUACUAUGCAGAAGAAAUAUGCUGCU